CAUACUUGAUAUAACAUUCCUCGGUCGAUACCGGGUUAGGUUUUCUAUAUUUAGAAGGAUAGGAUGAAAGCAGAGAAGAAUGAGAAUUUAUGGACGGGAAACACCUUGUAAUUUGAAGAAUAUUGCAGCACAAACUCUGCCACAACAAGAAAUAGUUUCAUUUCAAAAAGUCGUCGCAGGCUUGUAUUCAACUUGGCCAGUUUAACACAUUUUAAUACUCUAAAAGCCAUCCGUUAUAACCCCGAAAACCUUGUCUAUUAAUGGAUCCUUGAUAUGAUUAGAAGCGAAGAGAGAAGAGGUCAACCUUUCAAAGUAAAAGAUGCGGUAGAGACGAUGUGAACGACCUCCCACGCUCCGGGCUUUUCUAAGCACCGACUGGCCUUACAUGACAAUCUCCCCAGUCUCCCGUGUCCUGAAACAGAUUCAACAUGGCUGCCGUCGUCUACGUCUAGUUGUCACUUCGAAUUAUGCUUUCAUCUGCGCUUGCGCUUGCGUCGACAUAAUGAAUUUAGGAUAUUGUCAUGGUGACCAUGCAUCGUCAUUUUCCUGGUCCCUUUAUUUCAAAUAUUUACUGAUUGAAAUAAGAACAAUCAGUGGAUAUUUGAAAUUGAGGGACCAAGGAGUAGUGCUCAAACUGGCCAUCAUCAUUAUAUGAUUGAUAGUUUGUUUAAAUGCAACAUUCAAAAUAUGAAAAAAUACAUUGAAAAUAUGGAAAAAUAAAUGAAAUAUUUAAUGAA